rnacentral:rRNA from 1 species
GAUGAACGCUGGCGGCGUGCCUAAUACAUGCAAGUCGAGCGAAUGGAUUAAGAGCUUGCUCUUAUGAAGUUAGCGGCGGACGGGUGAGUAACACGUGGGUAACCUGCCCAUAAGACUGGGAUAACUCCGGGAAACCGGGGCUAAUACCGGAUAAUAUUUUGAACUGCAUGGUUCAAAAUUGAAAGGCGGCUUCGGCUGUCACUUAUGGAUGGACCCGCGUCGCAUUAGCUGGUUGGUGAGGUAACGGCUCACCAAGGCAACGAUGCGUAGCCGACCUGAGAGGGUGAUCGGCCACACUGGGACUGAGACACGGCCCAGACUCCUACGGGAGGCAGCAGUAGGGAAUCUUCCGCAAUGGACGAAAGUCUGACGGAGCAACGCCGCGUGAGUGAUGAAGGCUCUCGGGUCGUAAAACUCUGUUGUUAGGGAAGAACAAGUGCUAGUUGAAUAAGCUGGCACCUUGACGGUACCUAACCAGAAAGCCACGGCUAACUACGUGCCAGCAGCCGCAGUAA